rnacentral:lncRNA from 10 species
CCCGCUCCGAGGGGCGCGCAGGCCAGCCGCCCGAGCCGCCGGCUCCCCCGGCUGUCCAGCCCUACCUCCUCCGCUGCCCGCUCUCGUGGCGCCGCCGAAGUCGCCGCCUGGCUGAGCUAACUCGGCUCCUCUGCCCCCUCCCUCGCUCGCCCGUUCGCCCGCCCGCCGCCUCCUCCCUCUUUCCCUGCCUCUCCGCAUGGCGGCGACCGCGGCUCCUCCUCCACUCAAGAUGGCGAAACCUCGGCCGCCGCGGCUAUAUUCGCCGCGGCGUCACUGCCUUCCUGGCCUGGUGGUGAGAGGAAGUCGGGCCGCGAAAGCUUCCUGAGGAGAAAAUGGAGGGCCCUUCUCUCACACCGACGAGAAAAGUUCGAGGGGGAAAUACGAGUUCCUUUCUGAAGGGACAGGACGGCUGCUUUUCCACAGCCGCGACGUGAUUGAGAAAUGGUGGCUGGCAAGGGUAGGCCUGCCUUCGCCCCUCCAAAGUAAAAAUCGGGAGUUGAGACCAGAGGAACAUCUCUUUAUUACAUGACUAAGGAUAUGUUUUGAAAACUGGCCCCCGGGCAGCUGCUCGGGGACAGGAAGCUGACCUGACUUCUCCAGCUGGCCGGGGAGGCUGAUGCCGGGCCUAAGGGGCCGCGUCCGAGCCUCUCGGGGCGCGCCUCCAUGCAGGAAGGCGCGGAACUAGCGACCCGGAGACGCCGGGCGCGCGUCUGAGUGUGGGGGCAGGAAGGGGGGCCGACCGGGCCCGGAGGCCGCACCAGGCAGGAGGGAGGACUCCAGAGAGUGCGCGGGGGGCGCUGCGCGGUGGGACGGGGCGAGCCUGUAGGGCGCGCCUGGCGGCGGGUAGGCUCCGGGCUUGAGGGUGCGCCUGGGGGCGCUGGUUGUGGGGGAAGGCACCGGGCUUGAGGGUGCACCUGGGCGGGGGAAGUCUUCGGGCAUGAGGGCGCGCCUGCGGGUGGUAUGGGGGGGUACACCGAGCUUGAGGGUGCGCCCGGGGGGCUCUCAUGUGAAGGGUACCAGGCUUGAGGGCGCCCCUGCGGGGGGCGCAGAGGCACCGAGCUUGAGGGUGCGCCUCGGGGGUCUGCGGGGGGAAGGCACCGGACUUGAGCGUGCGCCGGGAGAGGACGGCGGGGGACCGGACUGUGAGGGCGUAUCUUGGGGGACCUGUCUAGGAGGAACCGGGAGGUGAAGGCACAACUGGGGGUGAGGCGGGGGCAGGGGCCGGGCUGUGAGAGUGCGACUGAGGGGGGAUUACUCCGGAGAGCACGGAGCUGGGGGCGUUGCGCAGGUGGAGUGGGGAGGCCUGGUGGAGAGGGUAGCAAACCGAGAGAGCGCACCGGGGUGGUGGGGGGAGAAGCUGGACUGUAAGGUGAAGAGUUAGUAGGGCGCAACCGUCUUCUCCUGCCCUCGAAGGGCAAGACUGAAGAAAGUAGGGGCGGAGGAGGCCGGGCCCUCCACUAAAGGGAGGGAAGCUAGUGAAGCGUCAGUUAUAAUAGAAAUAGGAAUUCAGUAAGGAAAUGGAGAAGCUUAAGGCAAAGGGUGACUCUCCGGCCUGACCCUCACUAUGAAGAUAUUUAUGUAUGUUCCCAUAAUACUUUUCAGAUCCCAAUGUCUGUGUUUAUCCUUGACAGAAAUAAUAGAACUGCUGUCUUCUUCCAAGUUAAACAAAACUUUGGAGCUAAAAGCUAGCUAGGUCAAGAGAAACAAAAUCUAAUCCUCACCCAAUUGAGAGACUGAAUAUACAAAGAAUGGCCAAACCUAACCAUGACCUCCUACCCAUAACCUCUUCAGUAAUCGGCCAGAAGGGUCAGGACUUAAUCUUUAACCGGCAGCUUCCCUAUUUCUUGCCCCUGCUUCCAGCUCUGGGCCAAUCAGAGAAAGCCAAAUGUGCUCCUCACACCAAUCGCGUAAGAAGCCCUGCUUCUAGUAUAGCCCUCCUCCAACUUCCCGAUGCCAACAUCCUCCAAUCAGAGCCAACCUGAAGUUUCUCCCUUUUUUCAGUAUAUGUAAAGCUUUUCCACUCCCCUGCCUGCCUAUGAGUCUGUUAAAUCAAGUGAUGGGUCGCGGCUGACUCUUGCCAGCUCUGACAUGGCGUCUCCAGCCCAGGUUUUAAAAUACCUUCUAAUGUAAGGAAAUAGCCCUGCACCUUGUGCCCAUCCUAGAGAGAAAAUGGUUUCUUAAUAAAAAAUGUAUGAGGCCUUUUUUGCCCCAAUAUCUUCCCAAGCAGAGGAAUGUGAAGGGGGGUUGGGCCAAGAAGUGAGUGGUAGGAAGAGAGGCCUACGGAUUUAAAACAGGCCACUGCUUGGAGGGGUGUCUUUCCUAAACCACUGAAGAAAUUGAACCAGGCAAAGGAAGGGGGUUCACACCCACAAAUAAACUAUAACCUACAAAAGGAGCCCGGGUUCACAUCCACAAAUAAAUUGUAACCUACACAAGGAGUCUGGUUGAGGUCACAAAACAAAAGCCAGGAGGCAACCAAAAGUAGAAUAUGAAAUAGGUGCUGCCUUCUCACCUAGGAAUCCUUCCAGGGCUAAAACCUUCAAAUAUUCUGCUUUUAAGGUAGUCAGAUACCCUCACAACUCAUUUACAUCAGCCCUUCUCUGUUUUCAAGUGAGAAGCAUAGAUGGUUUAGAAUUAAGCUAUGAACUCUUGGAUCUUUUCUUCCAAGUUUAGUGUUAGUGGUAGAUAGGUCUAGUCCAACUAUCUCAAUACAUUGUUUUCUCCCUAGUUAAAACAGAUUUGCAAGAAUCAUUUGUAUGACACUUUAGGAAUACAGAUAAAUUGCUAGUGCAAAUAAUAUCCUUAUAUUUAUAAAAUAUAUGUGUACUUUUAAAAAAGUUAUAUGAAUCCAAUCCUCUGGCCUUUUAGUUAGUAUUGAGUGUGAUAGUUGUGGGAGAUCUGUAGUAAAUACGGUUUCUGAAGGGUGUGCUAUCAUCCCUAAUGAACUCACCUAUUAAUUGUGGUAAAGAGUUUUUCACUUGGGCUGGGCACGGUGGCUCACGCCUGUAAUCCCAGCACUUUGGGAGGCCGAGGCAGGUGGGUCGACUGAGGUCAGGAGUUCCAGACCAGCCUAGCCAACAUGGUGAAACCCCGUCUGUACUAAAAAAAAAAAAAAGAAAAAAAAUAGCUGGGCAUGGUGGCAGGUGCCUGUAAUCCCAGCUACUUGGGAGGCUGAGGCAGGAGAAUCCCUUGAACCUGGGGAGGCGGAGGUUGCAGUGAGCCAAGAUCGUGCCAUUGCACUCCAGCCUGGGCAACAAGAGCAAAACUCCGUCUCAAAAAAAAAAAAAAAAAGAAAAAGAAAAAGAAAUGAAAAAAAAAGUUUCCCAACAUGUAUUAGCCGUUUUCAUGUUGUCUGUAUUCACCUUUGCGUCAUCACCCCUCUUCAAUUUCCUCCUGGAAUUCAAUCACAGUAAUGGGUUAUCUCAGCAUAUAUUAUUCGCCAGUCUCACAUCCUGACCUCAUUUAUUUACCUAAAAAUAACCAGAACGAAAAAAAAAUCACAGAUUAAUUUACACUUGAUUUCACUUUAACUUCAAUUUAAAAUACUUAGAAUCCAGAAUUCCUAGUAAGUUGAACCUGGAAUACGCAGACCUGUGAUAAUAUCUUAAACACUCAAAUGUUUUCAACUUGCUGAAAUGGAGUUCACACUUUUAACAUUCUGGGCUUUUUUUUUAAAAGGGACUAUAAUACUUUAAC